rnacentral:lncRNA from 1 species
GAUUCAGAAUCAUUCAUUCAAACAACACCAACACUUAGAAUUCCAUUCUUUUCCAUCAAAGUUUCAAGAACACAAGUUGGGGUUUUCAAGUAGGAGCUGAAGGGAGAAAUUCGUGGCUAGCAGAGCACUAGAAUCAGGGAUUAAAGCUUCGAUUUCCCUUACAUGUAAUAAAAUCAAUUAGACCACAAUCAGGUGAAGAAAGUUAUGAUUAAUUAAAGUACCUGGGAAGGUUUUCCUUUUAUUUUGGGUAGGAUAACAACUUAGAAAUUAUAAGUAAGGACAUCACGACUAGUUAUCAUGUAAGGGGAUUUAAUUUAGAAUCCGAGGAAUGUAAUAUAACUGCAAGCUGAGGCGGAACCCGAGGUAUAUUAUUAUCAGUAGUACGAGGACCAAGCUCUCCGAGACCCGCUUGCCUUGGAGUGACCGUGUGACUUAUGCGUGCAUUUUCGAACUCUUUUAUAUUGUAAUUUUUAAUGAACUCUGUAUCGAUUCACAUUUAUCACAUUAGAUUCUAGACUAUGUAAUGUGGGAUGUUACAGGCUCUCUUCAACCUUUUUCUACAUUUUACUUCUUUUUUCCUAUAAUUUCAAUUUUGUAUUCUUUGUAUGAGGAUUUUUUUAUUCUUUUAACUUAAAAAUUUGAUUUUUUUUUUGCGUUCGUAUGUAGUACAUUAUAG